AUAAAGUUAAUAUAAAAUCAGAGAGAUGAUCGGACGGACACAUGUGCACAUGUUCAAUAUAUCACCCUAUUUCUAAACUAAAAUUAGUUUUAAGACUCUCAGAUUAAUUCCUAUAUAUGAGCCCACCGUGUAAAUGUAAAGUAGUACUAGUUCAUAGACUCACUCCACUCUCCCUUCAGAUGAGCAUUUACUUCCAUUAUAAAUUGAUUAGGCAAUUUGGCAGGUAUCCUCAGUGAAUGCUAUAAAUGAGGACUCCCUCUCCCCACAUUUAUCAGCCACCAGCCAGCCCACCACCGCUCCCACGGCUCAUCCCCUUCUCACGUGAUCCCUACUCCCUAUCACGUGACCUCUCCCCCUGUUUGCAAUUGCAUAUUUGCACCGUUUUGUUUCUUUAUUUCCAUGCCAACUGCCGAAGCCUUGUUCACAACGCAACCUCACUUAUAAAAAAGCAAUAAGCAAAGCCCCGUCUUUUUCUCUUCUCUCUCUCGACGACCACCACCCGGCGGAGCAAUGUCCUCGCCGUUGCCUCCUCUUCUUCCCUU
rnacentral:misc_RNA from 1 species